rnacentral:rRNA from 1 species
UACAGAGGGUGCAAGCGUUAAUCGGAAUUACUGGGCGUAAAGCGUGCGUAGACGGUUAUUUAAGUCAGGUGUGAAAGCCCCGGGCUCAACCUGGGAAUUGCAUUUGAGACUGAAUAGCUAGGGUGCGGAAGAGGGAAGCGGAAUUUCCGGUGUAGCGGUGAAAUGCGUAGAUAUCAGGAGGAACACCGGUGGCGAAGGCGGGUCUCUGGGCCGAUACUGACGUGGAGGAGCGAAAAGCGUGGGGAGCGAACAGG